AUGAACGCUGGCGGCGUGCCUAAUACAUGCAAGUCGAGCGAACGGACGAGAAGCUUGCUUCUCUGAUGUUAGCGGCGGACGGGUGAGUAACACGUGGAUAGCCUACCUAUAAGACUGGGAUAACUUCGGGAAACCGGAGCUAAUACCGGAUAAUAUUUUGAACCGCAUGGUUCAAAAGUGAAAGACGGUCUUGCUGUCACUUAUAGAUGGAUCCGCGCUGCAUUAGCUAGUUGGUAAGGUAACGGCUUACCAAGGCAACGAUGCAUAGCCGACCUGAGAGGGUGAUCGGCCACACUGGAACUGAGACACGGUCCAGACUCCUACGGGAGGCAGCAGUAGGGAAUCUUCCGCAAUGGGCGAAGGCCUGACGGAGCAACGCCGCGUGAGUGAUGAAGGUCUUCGGAUCGUAAAACUCUGUUAUUAGGGAAGAACAUAUGUGUAAGUAACUGUGCACAUCUUGACGGUACCUAAUCAGAAAGCCACGGCUAACUACGUG
rnacentral:rRNA from 1 species